UGGGGAAUAUUGCACAAUGGGCGAAAGCCUGAUGCAGCGACGCCGCGUGCGGGAUGAAGGCCUUCGGGUUGUAAACCGCUUUUAAUUGGGAGCAAGCGAGAGUGAGUGUACCUUUUGAAUAAGCACCGGCUAACUACGUGCCAGCAGCCGCGGUAAUACGUAGGGUGCAAGCGUUAUCCGGAAUUAUUGGGCGUAAAGAGCUCGUAGGCGGUUUGUCACGCCUGGUGUGAAAGUCCAUCGCUUAACGGUGGAUCUGCGCCGGGUACGGGCAGGCUAGAGUGCAGUAGGGGAGAUUGGAAUUCCCGGUGUAACGGUGGAAUGUGUAGAUAUCGGGAAGAACACCAAUGGCGAAGGCAGAUCUCUGGGCUGUUACUGACGCUGAGGAGCGAAAGCAUGGGGAGCGAACAGGAUUAGAUACCCUGGUAGUCCAUGCCGUAAAACGGUGGAUGCUGGAUGUGGGAC
rnacentral:rRNA from 1 species